GGCGGACGGGUGAGUAACGCGUGGGAAUAUGCCCUUCUCUACGGAAUAGCCUCGGGAAACUGAGAGUAAUACCGUAUACGCCCUUCGGGGGAAAGAUUUAUCGGAGAAGGAUUAGCCCGCGUUGGAUUAGGUAGUUGGUGGGGUAAUGGCCUACCAAGCCGACGAUCCAUAGCUGGUUUGAGAGGAUGAUCAGCCACACUGGGACUGAGACACGGCCCAGACUCCUACGGGAGGCAGCAGUGGGGAAUCUUAGACAAUGGGGGAAACCCUGAUCUAGCCAUGCCGCGUGAGUGACGAAGGCCUUAGGGUCGUAAAGCUCUUUCAGCUGUGAAGAUAAUGACGGUAGCAGCAGAAGAAACCCCGGCUAACUCCGUGCCAGCAGCCGCGGUAAUACGGAGGGGGUUAGCGUUGUUCGGAAUUACUGGGCGUAAAGCGCGCGUAGGCGGACUAUUAAGUCAGAGGUGAAAUCCCAGGGCUCAACCCUGGAACUGCCUUUGAUACUGGUAGUCUUGAGUUCGAGAGAGGUGAGUGGAAUUCC
rnacentral:rRNA from 1 species